GGGCCAUCGCUCAACGGAUAAAAGCUACCCUGGGGAUAACAGGCUCAUCUCCCCCAAGAGUCCACAUCGACGGGGAGGUUUGGCACCUCGAUGUCGGCUCAUCGCAUCCUGGGGCUGUAGUCGGUCCCAAGGGUUGGGCUGUUCGCCCAUUAAAGCGGUACGCGAGCUGGGUUCAGAACGUCGUGAGACAGUUCGGUCCCUAUCCGUCGUGGGCGUAGGAAAUUUGAGAGGAUCUGUCCUUAGUACGAGAGGACCGGGAUGGACAUACCUCUGGUGUACCAGUUGUUCCGCCAGGAGCACCGCUGGGUAGCUAUGUAUGGAUUAGAUAAUCGCUGAAAGCAUCUAAGUGAGAAACUAGCCUCAAGAUGAGAUUUCCCAUUCGUAAGAAGUAAGACCCCUUAGAGAUGAUGAGGUUGAUAGGUUAGAAGUGGAAGUGCUGCGAGGCAUGGAGCGGACUAAUACUAAUAGGUCGAGGACUUAACCAA
rnacentral:rRNA from 1 species